AUCUAACUAAUAUUUUUUCCAUCUAAAUUUGUUAAGCCUAUCUAUCGCCUUUUACUGUACUUCGUUUCAAUUAUUAUUGUUACAGAAUCAGAAGCAGGAUCGUAACUAAUUAGUGUGGUAAAGAAGAGCAGAAUAAAAUUGAAAAAUUUUCUAAUUUAAUUUAAACACAUGUUGUGGAUAUUACAUGUUACAAGCGUAAAGGUGUUACACGUUAAAGGCGCGAAAUAUGGCGAAGAUCGGAAAGACAAGAAAUUUAUUGAAUCGCAUGCGCUCCGACAGUAAACGUAUUUAGAUAUUGCUUUAUGGCAGAGGUGCGCCUAUCUCUAGAUGGUUCUACUUUAUUUGUAACACGUUAUUUGUACCAUUGUGUUCUUACUAUCAGCGAUGACGCGAUAAUUAAACGGAAUGAGAGUAAAACCAAUGUCCUUCAUAGGCUAACGAAGGAAAUUGAAAGGAAGUUUUUAUAAUACAUGGAGAUGUGAAAGAACGAGCAAAUAAUAAUGCUCGUGACACGUAUCGGUGUAUAUUUAUAUAUAUACACGCGUAAUAUAUUUCGUUAAAAUUAUUCGGAAAUUACAAAAUAAUAACUUGCUAUAUUUUCCGCGCGAUCGAUGUUUUCCUUUUUCUUAGUAUCGUAUCUGUCGUUGUCGAUAUUUGCAACAAGCGAGUUCGUGUUUUCCAAUUAGAAAACGGAAACGUAGUCGACAACGAGAUUUCCGCGCAGAACAGCCGAUGCAGAACGUUACGAGUUGCGUAUUCGCGAUUACAUUCGAGGAAAAACCUCUAAACUCGACCGCAGAUCUAUUUCUUUUUCGCGAAAUAUAAUUAGAUAAAAAACAAAUCGUUUGAGGAAAGAAAGGAGAACAACAAUUUACUAUCAACCUUGAUGCAAAGAAAUACUUAGAAAUUACUACAUCCGUUGAUUAAUCUCGCCAAGUGCACAAUUAGUAUUUUUUAUUGAAGCAGUGACAUUUUAUUGAACUCAUGACGCAACCUCGAUUUCGAUUUGAUUCUUUGAAACGAAAAUAGGUCGGUUUCAGUAUUUCAACUUCUAGUAUUUUGACUCUGCCACGAUCCUCGAAUUUUUAUAUUUUAAACUCGCACCGAUUUUAAGAAAUAACAAGAAUUUGUAACGUUCAAAGAAGAUUCAACUUGAAAUUGAAACUGGAAAAAUAACGAUAAGGAUUCUCUCGUCUGUUAUCGAAGCACGAGAUAUUUUCUACCUUUAGAAAAAUACAAUUGGGUCGGAAAUAACCGAAGAAACGUAGCAGGGUUAAAUAUUUUUUACUAACAACUUCAGGAACAAUAGUAACACGCGCGUGACCACGUACCCCUGAAAGCUCUUACCUGCGAUUUGUAUGCAACGAUACAAUGCUCUCUCUCUCUACUGUCGUACUUCGAUCAUAUGUCAGAUUGACAAGUUGCUGGGUUUACCCCCUUAUUUGUUCAGCAUUCUUUCUUAACGUUCAACGUUCACGACGAUUGGCUACAAAUUUAACGGUGCCCGUGCAGGCCAUCCGUAUCUGUUGCCAUACAGACAGUGUCGAGCGUGAAUAUAUUCUUGCAUUACGUUCGUCAAAAGCGAAGGAACCGUUAAAGAUUGUCAGAUCGCAGUUAUCGCUGCAAGGAAACGUCAUUACGUCGUUAGGAAUAAAUUUCUGUUUACGUAGCAUAACUCCUUGAAAAGAUUAUGCAAUUUACGAAAGGUAUAUGUUCGCGGUUAAUUACAAUCAGAUAUAAAAAUAAUCGUACAGGAUGAACCGUUUAGUGUUACAAAUUGAUCGAAUGGCCAAUCUGCAUUUCUAAACGCAACGUUGCACGCCUCCGCUGAUUCUCUACUUGAGAAUGAUUUAAUUCGUCCAUAUAUCAGGUGCCUUAACGAGAUUAACUUGCCGCGUUAUGUUAAUUAAUCUUGAGUGGUUUCCUAUAAAAAGACCAUUAUACGUUAAUCAAACAUCGUGUACCGUUCCUUCGUUAUGUUUGUUUAUUAAUAAUGUCACAAUUAGCUAAUCUCUCCCGUGUCAUUUGGCUCGCAUCUUAUCGUCAUUAAACAAAUUCAUUUCUUCGAUACCAGACAAAUCGCAGAAGCGACAACCAUAUAUAUUUAUCGUAACGUCGUUUCGAAUCGAACGAAAUUAAUGACGGCCUUUUCCAAUAAUAAUUUUUCAUAAGGCAAGUUGUUCAUUUCGAAAAUCGUACUAUACCGUUCCCUCUAGUUCUUUUUUAGAUCGACGGUAAAGUUCAAGGUCCUCCGCAUGAUGGUGCACACUCAAAACUUGAUACGAAGUCGUUCAUGGAAGCCUCUGUUACUUUACAGACCUAGUAUAUGUAUAUAGGGUGGAUCAAAAGGACGGAAUAUUUUAAAGAGUUAAAUGUAUGUUUCAGAUUCUCAGAAUUUCGUGAACCACUAAAAAUUAUCUCGUUCAAGAGAUAUUUCGACGGAAGACAUUCUUUUUCUUUGUCCACCCUGUACGUACGUGCGUAAUAAGCCUGCGUACGUUCCUGAGAAUGUGAUAGUACAACAGGAUCAUCAUCAUCAUCAUCGUCAUUAUCGUUAUUAGCACUCCUUCUACGAGUUCACCACUGUCAACUGGUUCAUCGUCUUGUUGUUUUUCCGCAGAACAUAUAUCUGGCUGAUAAGAAUGUAUUUCUUCGCGUACACGCGCUCUGUAUGUUAUACACACGAACAAUCGUUCUCACAACGCGCACAUAGGUCGCUACUGGCAAUUAUCUUGCCCCUUACAAACGCGUCGUUCUUUUUCUCCACAGAAAUCUAACUAUUCUUCAAUGUCGAUGAACCAUGUAUGGCUUGGAAGAAGAUGAACGUUUCAACGACGCGCGUUCCCUGCGCGAAUUUCGAGUUUCGACCACUGGAUGCUCUGGAACGGCAAAAGGAAUAAUAGAGCAUGUAUGUGCUUGUUCGAGGAACACCUUCUCUGUCGGCCUUGACAAAGCCCUGUUUCGACGGUACAAGUUCAUUAAUCUUCGGACAAAGUAUCCUUCGCGAAAAGAAACGAAGUCGUAGAAAUUGGAUCGAGAGGCUCCGCGGACAAGAAGCACAUGCCACGAUACUAUAAAUUCAUAGAAAGAUCGAGCAAACCACUCUCGAACGUUAUCGACAAGCUGAGAAUUUUUAUGCAUUUAUGAGAUAU